rnacentral:lncRNA from 1 species
UACUAUAAAAUCUACUAGAAGUAGAAGUACAUAGCUAUAUGUAAAAUGUAACCACAUAAAAAUAAACAUGAAUUAAUCAAAGUUUCCUGACCACCCACAUAACUGCUAUUUUCUCCUACAUGUCAAAUAAUUUGAAUUGAAAAUCUUCAAUCUGAAAAUUCUUUUGAGUAGCCAAAUUAAAGACGAUUUGUUUAUCUGGCUCUGCUAUACUGUCUUAUGGGUCCAUGCCAAGUGAUACUGUGUGACUGUCUCUGUAUGUUUGAGAUUGUCAAAUUUGUUUACAAUUCUUUGAGUAUACUUUGUCUGGAUGCAGGGAAAAUAAUUUGAGAUAAAAACACAAAUAAAGAAAACCAAAUAAAUUCAUAUACCGAGUAGAAAAUAAAUGAAAUGACAUGUUUUCCUUUUGCUUUUUCAUAGGUUCUCUUUGUUGAAAGUAAUUAUAUUUGAGGUGUUGUAAAACAUAAAUAUGAACAUUCUCUCAACUAUGUUUAUUACAUUGUAGAAGUCUUGUUUAUUUAAUUGAAUACAAAGUGAAAAAAAUCAUCCAUAUUAGUGGUGUUUGUAUUCAAUUUUUCAGUGAUGAGAUUAGAAACUCUUCAACAUCUAGGUUUCUUCUUCUUCUUCGCAAUUUAUGACAACUUUUAUGAUUUUUUUUUUUUCAUAUAUAAUUUGAU